rnacentral:rRNA from 1 species
CCAGACUCCUACGGGAGGCAGCAGUGGGGAAUAUUGGGCAAUGGGCGCAAGCCUGACCCAGCGACGCCGCGUGAGGGAAGACGGUCUUCGGAUUGUAAACCUCUUUCAGCAGGGAAGACAAAAGGACGGUACCUGCAGAAGAAGCCCCGGCUAACUACGUGCCAGCAGCCGCGGUAAUACGUAGGGGGCAAGCGUUAUCCGGAUUUACUGGGUGUAAAGGGAGCGUAGGCGGUGAUGCAAGUCAGAAGUGAAAGCCCGCAGCUCAACUGCGGGACUGCUUUUGAAACUGUAUGACUAGAUUGCAGGAGAGGUAAGUGGAAUUCCUAGUGUAGCGGUGAAAUGCGUAGAUAUUAGGAGGAACACCAGUGGCGAAGGCGGCUUACUGGACUGUAAAUGACGCUGAGGCUCGAAAGCGUGGGGAGCAAACAGGAUUAGAUACCCGAGUAAG